CUCUUGUGUAUAUAACAAUAAUCCAUUAUUUGUGCCAUAUGUGCGGGUUCGACUGCACACUACGAAACUAACGUUUGAGCACCGCUGUUUUACCAACGCGAAGUUUUACUGGCGCUGCGACAGCCAGCGCUCAAUGACCGCCUGGUCUUGUAGCGUUUGCCGUCGCAAUUGGUGUUCGUCAGCUGUUCAUCUCACAGAACAGAGGUUGCUACUCUUCACUAAUGUUCAUACCUUGGUACAUCACACAUCAUGUACAUACGCAGAUGGUUAUUCAUCAGUCCAAAUAUUUCUUUUACGUACCAAUCGUACUGCAGUUCAAUAUAGCAUAUAUUUUCGUGCUCGCUAGUGGGCUUGCACACUUGCUCAGAACUAUUACGAACACUAUUUUCUUUAUUUGACUCCGGAUGCGUCUACCCUUUAUCUGUAUCAUUGAGCUGAAGUUUCAUAUUAUGCCCCAA
rnacentral:lncRNA from 1 species